AUUGAACGCUGGCGGCAGGCCUAACACAUGCAAGUCGAACGGUAGCACAGAGAGCUUGCUCUCGGGUGACGAGUGGCGGACGGGUGAGUAAUGUCUGGGAAACUGCCUGAUGGAGGGGGAUAACUACUGGAAACGGUAGCUAAUACCGCAUAACGUCGCAAGACCAAAGAGGGGGACCUUCGGGCCUCUUGCCAUCAGAUGUGCCCAGAUGGGAUUAGCUAGUAGGUGGGGUAACGGCUCACCUAGGCGACGAUCCCUAGCUGGUCUGAGAGGAUGACCAGCCACACUGGAACUGAGACACGGUCCAGACUCCUACGGGAGGCAGCAGUGGGGAAUAUUGCACAAUGGGCGCAAGCCUGAUGCAGCCAUGCCGCGUGUAUGAAGAAGGCCUUCGGGUUGUAAAGUACUUUCAGCGGGGAGGAAGGUGUUGUGGUUAAUAACCGCAGCAAUUGACGUUACCCGCAGAAGAAGCACCGGCUAACUCCGUGCCAGCAGCCGCGGUAAUACGGAGGGUGCAAGCGUUAAUCGGAAUUACUGGGCGUAAAGCGCACGCAGGCGGUCUGUCAAGUCGGAUGUGAAAUCCCCGGGCUCAACCUGGGAACUGCAUUCGAAACUGGCAGGCUAGAGUCUUGUAGAGGGGGGUAGAAUUCCAGGUGUAGCGGUGAAAUGCGUAGAGAUCUGGAGGAAUACCGGUGGCGAACGCGGCCCCCUGGACAAAGACUGACGCUCACGUGCGAAAGCGUGGGGGAGCAAACACGAUU
rnacentral:rRNA from 1 species